ACUGGCUGUGAGCGGGUGUUUGGGUUACUCUCUGUUGGGAGUGGUGCCAAUAUCCAUGCCCUGGUGCCAGGCCUCAGGGGGCUGGAAGUACAGAGCAGUCUGGGGCACCUGAGCACCAGUCAGUGCUCCAUGCAGGGCUGUGGUGUCACACGCCCAAGGCCACAUGCCUGCCAGGAAGGGCAGAGGCUAUCCCGAGCAGCAGACAUUACCCAGGGCCCCGGGGGUCAGAACAGGGGCUGAGCCUCACUCCCAGCCCAGCCUCCCAUCACCUGAGGCUACAGUCUUCCUGACCCCUCCCAGGUGGUCCUUCCUGCGUUGCUGGCAGGAUGGCGGUGGCUUUCUGCAGUGUCCUCUGGCCUGGGUCCCACUCCUGCUGGGAGGCAGAGCCAGUGCUUCCCAGAAGCCAACAAGCUGCAAAGUGGUUCUUCCCACAGCUGUGGCUGUGGCCAGCUGCUGGGAGGAGCCUGUCCAUUGGCUCCUGGACUGCCUUGCUCAGGACCUCUGGAUGCCAGGGGUGGUAUCAGGGCCUCUAAUUCUACAUGCUGAGCACUCAGCUUAGAGAAACGGUGUCACGGUGCUGGGGUAGGAACAGAGGAGGCUAAAUGAAGGACUCCGGAGAGCUGCAGGUGGAUCUGGACCAAAUUCAGAACCCAAUGCCUUACUCCCUCCUGGGGAAGGAGCUGGGCAGAGACUUGGGGCAGGCAGUGAGGUGGGGAUAGGUGAGCAGCACUCGUGGCGACUGGCCCGUGUGAUUUAGGAGAGGUGUGGUAUGGGAUCCUAGGGAGAUGACCAGUCAGCCCUACCCUGGCUUUGACAUGGGGGUACCUGGCAGUGGUGGCUACAGAAGUCCAGUUUGCCACGAGAAGGGCACAUAAAAAGGCACUGGGGUGGGCACCUCUGGGGCAUGAGGUCACUGGGAGACACAGGGAUGGGGUGGGUCACGUGCGUGGAAGACUCGGCAGUGAACAGCACAGGCCCGAGCCCAUCCCGUCCAUGUGAGCUUAUGGCCUGAUGCAGAGACUACCAGGGGCUCCAGGAAAGCUAAGGUGCAUGGAAACGAUGGGCCAGGGCCGGGCCCAGGGUGGUUUAGGGAAUGCCAGUGUCUUGGGUAGAAUAGCAAGGCCUGAGAUUGUAACUGAGCUGACAGCAGGGCAAAGUGAAGGAGCCCAGUAUUGGAAGAUCGGCUCCAAAUGUAUCUCUGCAAGGAGACUGCAAGCAAGCUCGUGUGUGAAGGACCAGGCAGAGGCGAGGGCUAAGUGAGGCCAGCAGUGGCCUGGGCACAGUAAGAUGGUGAGAAGCCACCAGAGCUCCUAUGCAGGAGUGCAACACCAUUGCUGUUUAAUUCAGUUUGGCUUCACCUGUUUAAAACUGUUAACUCUCUAGAAGGGUGAAAAGUGAACGCCUCCCUCCUGCCCCUGCCCAGCCGCUCGGUGUCCCCAGGCACCAGCGCUGCUCCCAGUCUCCAGAGUCCUCCAGGGCUCUUCAUUUCUGGGCUAGAAGCAGGGAAACCAGAGUGUGACGGGGAAGAAGAGGAGGUGGAGGACGGCCGAUGGGGUCACACGCUGCUGGGAUGCCAGCUGAGAGCAGUGGGGCACUGCUGAGCUGAGGGACUGGGUGGGUGCAGAUGGAGCCCUCCCUGAGAUUUAGGACACAUCCAAGGGUGACAGCUUGAGGUUGGGUUUUUAUUAUUUUAUUUGUAUAGUACAAUCUCUGUGGUAGCAGAAAUAUAUGCACAAAAAACAAUUCAAAUAAGAGUUCAGAGUAAAAAAAAGUCAGCUAAGACUGUAUCCCGCGGGACAUUUCAUAUAUAUGGAUUUCACAGCUACACUCAAUCCACGCCGUGCACCACAUAGAGGCUGCUGUCUCCCACAAGAAUGAUGAUGUCAGGGACAUCGGGAAAGGAGGGGAGAGCUCUGCUCCACACGCAGGCGGUCUUGGCUGCUCCGGAGCAAUCCACUGCUCCAGCUUCAGCCAUGGGACCAAGAGGAUAGAGGAGCAGCUUCUGGGGGCCCCAGGCAGAAGCCACCUUGCAGUAGUGACUGGCGACUUCACAGUACAUCUCUACUCACUUGCCGUCCCUUGGGAGUGAGCAGCGUCUAUAACACAUCGCCAUCUACAAAAGCCUGGUCACAGUGUUCACCAGCACAUUCAUGAAAAAAAAAAAUUUAAAUCAACAUUAACCAAAGUACCUGCAAGUAACACUGCUUACUCUUGCUGUUUGCCCUUUCUGACUGGAAACCUUAGCCCCCAAAUAUGAAACGCCUUCUCUAGAUUAAAAGGAUUCAGAGAUGUUGCACUAUUGCACU